ACAAGCAGUGGGAGCACAGAGCAAUCUGUGUGACUGCGUACCUUUUGUAUAAUGGGUCAGCGACUUAUAUUCUGUAGCAAGGUUAACCGAAUAGGGGAGCCGAAGGGAAACCGAGUCUUAACUGGGCGUUAAGUUGCAGGGUAUAGACCCGAAACCCGGUGAUCUAGCCAUGGGCAGGUUGAAGGUUGGGUAACACUAACUGGAGGACCGAACCGACUAAUGUUGAAAAAUUAGCGGAUGACUUGUGGCUGGGGGUGAAAGGCCAAUCAAACCGGGAGAUAGCUGGUUCUCCCCGAAAGCUAUUUAGGUAGCGCCUCGUGAAUUCAUCUCCGGGGGUAGAGCACUGUUUCGGCAAGGGGGUCAUCCCGACUUACCAACCCGAUGCAAACUGCGAAUACCGGAGAAUGUUAUCACGGGAGACACACGGCGGGUGCUAACGUCCGUCGUGAAGAGGGAAACAACCCAGACCGCCAGCUAAGGUCCCAAAGUCAUGGUUAAGUGGGAAACGAUGUGGGAAGGCCCAGACAGCCAGGAUGUUGGCUUAGAAGCAGCCAUCAUUUAAAGAAAGCGUAAUAGCUCACUGGUCGAGUCGGCCUGCGCGGAAGAUGUAACGGGGCUAAACCAUGCACCGAAGCUGCGGCAGCGACGCUGAUGCGUUGUUGGGUA
rnacentral:rRNA from 1 species